AGCAUCUUAGUGUAAUGGUUAUCACGGAUGACCUUGGAUCAUCAGAUGUUGGUUCGAUUCCAACAGGUGCCGUUA
rnacentral:tRNA from 2 species